UCGCCCUUCGGUUGAUCCUGCCGGACCCGACUGCUAUCGGAUUGAGAUUUAGCCAUGCGAGUUGAACGUCCCUUGAUUGCAGGGGGCGUAGCAUACGGCUCAGUAACACGUAGUCAACCUGCCCUGGAGACGCGGAUAACCCCGGGAAACUGGGACCAAUCCGUGAUAGGUCGCCCCAUCUGGAAGGUGGGGCGGCCCAAAGGGGAAUUGUGGGCUUCCACUUUUCUCGCUCUAGGAUGGGACUGCGGCCGAUCAGGCUGUUGGCGGGGUAAUGGCCCACCAAACCUGUAACCGGUACGGGCCUUGAGAGAGGUGGCCCGGAGAUGGACACUGAGACAAGGGUCCAGGUCCUACGGGGCGCAGCAGGCGCGAAACCUUCGCAAUGUGCGAAAGCAUGACGAGGUUAAUCCGAGUGGCUUCCGCUGAGGAAGUCUUUUGCCGACUGUAAAAAGGUCGGAGAAUAAGGGGAGGGCAAGUCUGGUGUCAGCCGCCGCGGUAAUACCAGCUCCUCGAGUGGUCGGGGCGAUUAUUGGGCCUAAAGCAUCCGUAGCCGGUUCCGUAGGUCUCCUGCAAAAUCCAGUCGCUCAACGAUUGGCCCGCAGGAGAUACCGCGGGACUAGGAGGCGGGAGAGGUGGACGGUACUCCACGUGUAGGGGUAAAAUCCUUUGAUCCGUGGAAGACCACCAGUGGCGAAGGCGGUCCACCAGAACGCGCUCGACGGUGAGGGAUGAAAGCUGGGGGAGCGAACCGGAUUAGAUACCCGGGUAGUCCCAGCCGUAAACGAUGCUAGCUAGAUGAUCCGAUCGUAAAUCAUGAUCGGAGUGUCGCAGGGAAGCCGUUAAGCUAGCCGCCUGGGGAGUACGGUCGCAAGACUGAAACUUAAAGGAAUUGGCGGGGGAGCACCACAAGGGGUGAAGCCUGCGGUUCAAUUGGAGUCAAUGCCAGGAAACUUACCAGGAGAGACAGCAGAUUGAGGGUCAGACUGAAGAUCUUACCUGACGAGCUGAGAGGAGGUGCAUGGCCGUCGCCAGCUCGUGCCGUGAGGCGUCCUGUUAAGUCAGGCAACGAGCGAGACCCAAAGGGCG
rnacentral:rRNA from 2 species